rnacentral:rRNA from 1 species
CCUACGGGAGGCAGCAGUGGGGAAUAUUGGGCAAUGGGCGAAAGCCUGACCCAGCAACGCCGCGUGAAGGAAGAAGGUCUUCGGAUUGUAAACUUCUUUGAUCAGGCACGAAGAAAUAACGGUACCUGAAGAACAAGCCACGGCUAACUACGUGCCAGCAGCCGCGGUAAU